GUCUACGGCCAUACCACCCUGAACGCGCCCAAUCUCGUAUGAUCUCGGAAGCUAAGCAGGGUUGGGCCUGGUUAGUACUUGUAUGGGAGAUGAAUAUUCUAUUGGGAUUGUAUAGU
rnacentral:rRNA from 1 species